UACGGGGGGAGCAAGCGUUGUUCGGAUUUACUGGGCGUAAAGGGCGCGUAGGCGGUCAGCACAGUUCGGUUGGGAAAUCUCCGGGCUUAACUCGGAAAGGUCAACUGAUACUGUGCGGCUAGAGUGCGGAAGGGGCAACUGGAAUUCUCGGUGUAGCGGUGAAAUGCGUAGAUAUCGAGAGGAACACCUGCGGCGAAGGCGGUUGCCUGGAGCUUUGCUGACGCUGAGGCGCGAAAGCGUGGGGAGCGAUCCGG
rnacentral:rRNA from 1 species